UUUUAUUUUUAAUGAGGAUUUUGAAAAUCUUCUUCGGAUUAUUUUUUUAUCCAAUAAAAA
rnacentral:tRNA from 1 species